rnacentral:lncRNA from 1 species
CUAGAAACAUAACUAGAACUUACCUAAGUCAAAUCAUUAAUCAAAACUUAGAAAAUUAGAAGCAAGAGAGGAGAAAAAGGUCAAGAACCCUAGUUCAAGAACGCAGCGAGGUUUCUUCAGUUCCAGCCCCGAAAUCGAAAGAUUUCUCCGUGGAAUUCGUCACCAGGUAUGUGGGAUUUCACUAGUGGGUUCCUUUCGCCCAUUAGAUCCCUAGAAUUCAGUCAGAUUCUUG